UCUCAGCGCAGGGCUCUGCUGCCCUCCGGUGGCCGCUCGGUGUCACUGCACGCCCCGCCUGCUCUGGUCCCAGGAGGAGAGAGCUCCAGCUUGGGAAGCUGACCUGCAGGGAUGCGCGCCCCUCCUCCUGCCCCCAAGGCCCCUCUGCCAUGCCGCGCUGCCUUCGAGCUGCUGACUAGGCACUGAAACCUCUCCCAAGUGCGAGCCGAGAUAAACCUCUCCUCGGUUAACUUGUGUGUGUCCGGUAGCGUGUCUCGGUGACCAAGUCACUCCCCUCGAGGUCCUGCCCUUGACACCUGCACGGCACGUGAGUGACACCUCUCGGGGGCAGGUCCAACCUUGGCUCUUGGGGAGGUUCUGGAGACGCGGUGGGGCAGCCCCCGGUGAGUCCUGGACGGGUCUAGGCCCCUGCCCCAGGUGUGUGGUCAAAAACAGUAGGGUGUGUGGGUGCAGGAGUGGCUCUGCCUGUGUCCGACGCUCUCCACAAGGCCCCGGCAGCUUCCCGGCCGCACCUGUGCCCACCUCAGCCUGAGGGUGUGGGCCCACCUGAGCCACACUAGAGCUCCUGACCUGGCAAGACCCGUGGGGUCCUGAGCCUUCCACGAGCUCUAGAAAGGCUCCAUCGGUCUCUGGGAGGGCCUGACUCCCCUGCUGCUCAGCCACCACACAGCGCCCAGUCAUGUCCUGUCCUCCUGGGAUUUCUUCCCCAGCUAGCAAGGGCGGUCCAUUGUGACCUCACUUGUGUGUAGGGCUGUCUUAGUCUGCAAGCUGCAGUCCUUCUGCCCCAAGACCUCUGCUGCUUUGCUGAUCUCAAGACACUGACAAUAUUGCUUGCUGUCUGCUCAGGGCCUGGUCGUCUCCAUGGCAAAAGUCUUUGGCCAUUCCUACCCGUGUCCAUCCGUUGCCUCGGCCUUUCUCUUCAGCCAUAGCAAGUGUCCUAGCAGAGGUUCUUCAGCCUUAGUCAGCCCACUUUAGCUUGCUCCUUUUCUUCCUCGUAGGCACAACAGGCAUUGGGCUCUCCCAUCCCAACAGCAGCAUAUGCAUCCUUUUCAACUGGAAUAAAUUUUAAAGUGAUUUUUUAAAUCAUGUCACCCGUAAUUCAUUCAUUCAUCUGUUAUGGCCGAAUUUGGGACCCAUAUCAUUUAACCAUAUUUCAGGCUAAAAGUAAGAAAUAAAUUUGAAAGCCUUAAGCAACGAAAAGCUGGUUUGUUUGUUCAAUUCUGACAUCUGACUUCAGGAGGGAUUAAAAAACUUCCAGCAUUCACUGUGUUGUUCUCCUUCCUCAGACCUGGCUCCACUUCUGGGUUCUUAGGCAUACCUUCUCUUAUCUAUUCCAGGCUUCCCUCGGGCCCUAGCAGCUCUCAGAUGAUUUCCCAAGAUGAGAAGGCUCUCAUUUCCAUCAUUUCAAAUAACAUUCUUCACGUUUGUUCUGAUUGGGUUUGUGUAAAGGAUUUAGUCAUAACCAACCUGUAUAACCAUGGAAAUGACUAUCCUCAUUGGGUUUAAUCCAAACAAAAUCCCCUCCCAAAUGUAC
rnacentral:lncRNA from 1 species